rnacentral:lncRNA from 1 species
UCUGCCCCGCGGGUGCGGGCUGCUGCGGGCCCUCUGCCUCGGGGUUUUGUGUUGAUUUAAGUAGCUGCGGUGGAAAAUUCCCCAGUGUAACUGUUCUUCUGUGGGAGCGGCACUAAUGUACUCACGGCAUCUUUACGCCAGCGAGCCGAGCGCACGGAGGUGACAUUCACUCACACGUUUACACAAAUGGAAACUUGGCAUUCAUGAGUCACUGAUCUUAAUGUGGGAUUAAGAACAAAAACCUAUGCUUCUUGACACCUACCGUCAGGAUUUGCCUGGAUACAGCUGGAACAAGAAUCUGACCCUAAGGACUGUGCUGUGGAAGAUUUGCAGCUCUUUACAUUAGAGCAGAAAUUAGGUAAUGUUUCUGUUACUUAUAAUUAAG